rnacentral:rRNA from 1 species
UACGUAGGGGGGCAAGCGUUGUCCGGAAUCAUUGGGCGUAAAGCGCGUGUAGGCGGCUCGGUAAGUCUGCUCUGAAAGUCCAAGGCUCAACCUUGGGAUGCGGGUGGAUACUGCCGGGCUCGAGUCCGGAAGAGGCGGAGUGGAAUUCCUGGUGGUAGCGGUGAAAUGCGCAGAUAAUCAGGAGGAACACCAAUGGCGAAGGCAGCUCGCUGGGACGUGACUGACGCUGAGACGCGAAAGCGUGGGGAGCAAACAGGG